rnacentral:rRNA from 1 species
UACGUAGGGUCCGAGCGUUAAUCGGAAUUACUGGGCGUAAAGCGUGCGCAGGUGGUCUUGUAAGCCAGAUGUGAAAGCCCCGGGCUCAACCUGGGAACUGCAUUUGGGACUGCAAGGCUGGAGUACGGCAGAGGGAGGUGGAAUUCCACGUGUAGCAGUGAAAUGCGUAGAGAUGUGGAGGAACACCGAUGGCGAAGGCAGCCCCCUGGGCCGACACUGACGCUCAUGCACGAAAGCGUGGGGAGCAAACAGG